rnacentral:lncRNA from 1 species
UUUUAUAAAGCUAUCAGUAAAUAAUUCUUAUAGCGUAAAAGUUAAUUAUAUUCAUAUAUACUAUAAAGCAAAUAACCAAAACAUAAAAUUACUUUUACAGCGACACGUGGGCCCACAUCUAACCAAAAUGCAUUGGAAGCUGAAAACCUACAACUUUUAGCGAUUCAAGUCCAAAUGAAGGUCCUUGUCAAAGUCAGCUAACUAUGGAAUU